UAGGGAAUAUUGGACAAUGGGGGCAACCCUGAUCCAGCCAUGCCGCGUGAGUGAAGAAGGCCCUCGGGUUGUAAAGCUCUUUUGUCCGGAAAGAAAAGCUUCGGGUUAAUACCCCGGGGUUCUGACGGUACCGGAAGAAUAAGCACCGGCUAACUUCGUGCCAGCAGCCGCGGUAAUACGAAGGGUGCAAGCGCUACUCGGAAUUACUGGGCGUAAAGCGUGCGUAGGUGGUUGUUUAAGUCUGAUGUGAAAGCCCUGGGCUCAACCUGGGAAUGGCAUUGGAAACUGGGCAGCCAGAGUGCGGUAGAGGGUAGUGGAAUUCCCGGUGUAGCAGUGAAAUGCGUAGAGAUCGGGAGGAACAUCUGUGGCGAAGGCGACUGCCUGGACCAGCACUGACACUGAGGCACGAAAGCGUGGGGAGCAAACA
rnacentral:rRNA from 1 species